AUAAGGGUGAGGUCGGCAGUUCAAAUCUGCCCAGACCUACCAAUAUGCGGGGCCAUAGCUCAGCUGGGAGAGCGCCUGCCUUGCACGCAGGAGGUCAGCGGUUCGAUCCCGCUUGGCUCCACCACUUGCUUUACCUUGAUCAAACUCAGAAAUGAGCAUUCGCGUCGAAUGUUGAUUUCUGACUUUUGUCAGAUCGUUCUUUAAAAGUUCGGAUAUGUGAUAGAUAUAGACUGAACACCAGUUUCACUGCUGGUGGAUCAGGCUAAGGUAAAAUUUGUGAGUUCUGCUCGAAAGAGCAACGUACGAAUUUUCGGCGAAUGUCGUCUUCACAGUAUAACCAGAUUGCUUGGGGUUAUAUGGUCAAGUGAAGAAGCGCAUACGGUGGAUGCCUUGGCAGUCAAAGGCGAUGAAAGACGAG
rnacentral:tRNA from 1 species